rnacentral:rRNA from 1 species
GACGAGGGGUCCUAGCGUUGUUCGGAAUCAUUGGGCGUAAAGCGCAUGUAGGCGGCUUUAAAAGUCAGGUGUGAAAUCCCAUGGCUCAACCAUGGAACUGCAUUUGAUACUGUAAAGCUUGAGUAUGAGAGAGGUUGGUAGAAUUCCUGGUGUAGUGGUAAAAUACGUAGAUAUCAGGAGGAAUACCGGAGGCGAAGGCGGCCAACUGGCUCAAUACUGACGCUGAGAUGCGAAAGCGUGGGGAUCAAACAGG